rnacentral:rRNA from 1 species
UACGUAGGGUGCAAGCGUUAAUCGGAAUUACUGGGCGUAAAGCGUGCGCAGGCGGUUGUGCAAGACCGAUGUGAAAUCCCCGGGCUUAACCUGGGAAUGGCAUUGGUGACUGCACGGCUAGAGUGUGUCAGUGGGGGGUAGAAUUCCACGUGUAGCAGUGAAAUGCGUAGAGAUGUGGAGGAAUACCGAUGGCGAAGGCAGCCCCCCUGGGAUAACACUGACGCUCAUGGCCACGAAAAGCGUGGGGGAGCAAACAGG